CGAUACGUAGUGUGAAUUGCAGAAUUCCCGUGAACCAUCGAAAUCUUUGAACGCAUAUUGCGCUCGACUCCUCGGAGAAGAGCAUGUCCGCCUCAGCGUCGGUUUUCA
rnacentral:rRNA from 1 species